CGGGGCUCCAACUCGGCCGCCUGCCUCUGCCUCUAACCCCGCCCGCCAGCGGCUCCCGCGUGACUCCUGACUCCGCCCCCCAACCGCGUGAUUGGGUAUACCCAGCUGCUUUCAUUAUCCCUUCACAGCUAUGGCCAGCUGCAUUUCUUGACCUUCAAAAUGUUUGACAAGAUGUAUAUUUCUCCUUGAACACUGUGAACAGCUGGAUUGCUUAUCUGACAAGCAUUAACAGCCACACUGCCUGGAAACAGUUAUUUCUAAACAAAUAAAACAAGCACCUGCAGUUUUUGCAAUCCAAGCACUACAGCAUUGUGAACCUGGAAGUGAAACUGUGUCUGUAAACAAAAGUGAAAUGGUCUUAGUUUCAUUGUCCAAACUGAGAGAAAGCAAAAAGAGAAAGACAUUAGCUAGUGUGAAAUGCUAGCUUCCAGCAGAAGGUGUUACCUCCUGCCCAACAAAGAAACCCCAUCAACACCAGACAAACUAUUGUGGACACCAGAGGACAAAAGUCUUUGUUGAUUGCUCCCCCAUCCAUGAAGAGGAGAUGUGCAAGUGAAUUCCUCCCAUCAGCUGAACUGACAGCUCAGUGAAAGGGGAAAGGUAAUAAAAAUCCUUGACAAGGAGAAACUGGAUCUCUAUGCUGCUUGGACUCUCAAGGGAAAGGUUUUCUAGGCAUAAGCAAGAGAUCCCCACUGUUUAGCCUGGGUUAGCUCUA